ensembl:lncRNA
CCCUAGCCAUUUACCAACAUCCUGCUUUCAAGGAUGUAAUAAUGUGGACGUGUUGUUGAGUUGAGUGUCUUUACCUCUAGGGCAACAUGGCAGGUAUAAUGGGUGUCACUAUAUUUAUAUAAUUUGUUUCGGUAGCCGUCGCUCUUGGUAAGUCAAUAUUUUACAUUUUCUUCGUGAAACCUGUUUACUUGGAGAAUAAUUUACCUAAACUGGAUGGAGGGCUCAUUGUAUAUGCAAAUUAUGCAACAAUUGAGGUUAGUGUCAUACCGUAAAAAUAAAACAUGCCUAGGAAAUACCUGUUUAACACAAUACAGGACGUGGUUUCAGGUCAAGUUAUAUAGGUUUAUUUUUGUAUAAUACAUACAAGCAGCUAAAAAGUAUUCUAUAAAAAGGUCUGAAUUUAAUCCAGGGUUUUCUAAGGUCAUAGGGCAUUAGGUUACUAAUGAAGAACGUUCCAGUGAAACCUAAAAGGCCAGGGGCAUGCCUCCAAGCAAAUAUGAGUUUGGAAUGAGUUGAAUCUGUAGUAGUCUGUUAAUAUAAUGGCACCAUCUGGGUUAUUUACAUCUACCAUUUUAGAUAUUGCAAAAUGUAGUAUUACAUACAUAAUAUGCAAAUCAUGUGAAGUCUUGUUCUUCAUUAGCAAAACAGACAUUACGUUUCUCUUUUACACUCCAGCUCUACAUGUAACCUUGUCAAUCGACCCAGUUGUGCUACCCAAAUGCUAAUCUCAGCACCCAGUACAGAACCAAAUGUUGCGUGUGCACUGGCCAGUAACAGUCUAUCACAGGGAUGAGCAACUUUGAUGGGGGUGGGGGGCCACAAAAAAUCUGAACUCAUCAUGAGUGCUUCCCUCACCACCACAUUGCAAGCCAAACAUUUUAUUGGCAAUCUUGACAAUUUUUAAAAAAGGGUUAAUUUUGUGCAAUUCUACACAUUUGGGGUGUAGAUCAAAUGUCACAGCUUUAAAGCAAGUUUUCUAUGGAAGGAAGAGAAAUGUUUGCAGUUUUUAAUAUGAUACACUAUAUAUACAAAAGUAUGUGGACACCGCUUCAAAUUAGUGGAUAUGGCUAUUUCAGCCACACCCGUUGCUGACAGGUGUAUGAAAUCGAGCACACAGAGUGCAGAGUGCUGUCCUUGUCUGUCCUCGGUUGCAACACUCACUACUGUGUUCCAAACUGCCUCUCAAAGCAACAUCAGCACAAUAACUGUUUGUUGGGAGCUUCAUGAAAUAGAUCACCAUGCGCAAUGCCAAGCAUCGGCUCAACUACAUUGAACACCAUUGGGAUGAAUUGGAAGGCCAACUGCGGGCCAGACCUAACCGCCCAACAUCAGCGCCCGACCUCAUUAAUGCUCUUGUGGCUGAAUGGAAGCAAGUCCCUGCAGCAAUGUUCCAACAUCUAGUGGAAAGCCUUCCCAGAAGAGUGGAGGCUGUUAUUACAGCAAAGUGGGGACCAACUCCAUAUUUAUGCCCAUGAUUUUGGAAUGAGAUGUUUGACGAGCAAGUGUCCACAUACUUUUGGUCAUUUAGUGUAUCAGAGUGAGACUGAUAACAAGCUUAGAUAGUUUAGCGGCGAGCUAACUUAUCGAUCUAAAAAAUAUUGACUGACAUAAAAAGAGAAACUGCUGAUGCACAACCAAAUUUCAAAAUUGCACCUUGUGUAUUCUACUAUUCUAACUCUCAACAGUAAGUUGAGACCCCCCCUUCCCAUCCCUGGUUUAUCACAAUAGACUACCCAAAUGCAUACCAGGUUUUGGCUCAAUUUGUUUUACCACAAACAAAUUGUCUCAAAACAUUGGACUCAGAUGCAGAUUUGUUAUCGGGUAUGACCCAGUUACAGAUCAUAACAAAAUAUGAAUAUGCCUGUAUGUAAAUAUGAAAUGAUCCAAUACUAACACUCCUUUAAUGCAGGGUCCUCUGGAGCCUCAUCAUCAACCUUGACAGUGACUCCAAUGAAGGCAACCACCAGGAAUACCCCAACAUUGUCUGUCACCAUCCCCACAGUGGCCCCUGCCAUGCCAACCAGUAGGACAAGUUCAUCAGUCAGUGAAGCACCUAAUACAGAUCCUACUGGUGACACUAGAGUCCCAAUGGAAUCAUCAACUUCAUCACCUGCAACUGAGCCUUCCCAAUACUCUCAGCCACUAACUCCAUCACAAUCAUCCAAUGGCAGCACCACCACACAAACCUCUACAGGUUUUACAGCUGACACUACUAUGAAUCAGACCCUAACUGGAAUAGUUGGUUAUGACUCAACAUCCUCAAUCUUCUCAUCAACUUUGUCGCCAAGCUCUGAUUUUACGACAGGGAACAUGAGCUCAAGCACAGAAAGUGAUGGGAGACAUGUCUUAUCAAGGAGUCCGGGCCUCGUAGCAGUCCUCUGCAUAUUCUGCAUCUGUCUGGGUCUUCUGCUGGCCGUUGGAAUUGCAAAGCUCAUUACUCCCAGAGGUUCAACAUUUCAGAGGCUUGAAGAUGUGCCAUUGGGCAAAAUAAAUGAAGAGUCUCCAUUUGCCCGUUACCCUGAAAAACAAUUCUGAAAGAAAACACAUCAUGAGAGAAGGUAUUCUAUUUGGGGUUCAGACAGUGUUGUUCAUGAGGACGUGUCACCCACCAUCAUGUUUAUGUUCCUGUUUUUGUUUGUUUAAUUUGUCUGGCUGCUGGAAAGUGACGUGUGUUUGAAGGAAGUCAGUAUAGGCACUAAAAGCAAUCCUGUGAUGUGGUAAAGAAUAUCUCCUCCCAGGUUGGUCAGCAGCAUACUGAAGUCGAUCGUUGGUACUGUUCAUUCACAGGUGGAUGGAUGCAUCAAGGAACUGAAUACAGAAGAUGCACAGACAAUGUCUGCGUUUACACAGGUAGCCCAAUUCUGAUCUUUUGCCAAAUUUUUAGCGAAAGAUCUGAUUUGUCAAAAAUACCAAUUAUUGGCACAAUAUCAGAAUUGGUCUGCCUUUAUAAACACAGCCAAUGUGUCAGGUAUCACUAGAAAUAAAGCUAUGAAAAAAGCUAUAAUAAAGCCAAAUUCUCUGUUUCUUGAAAAGACUAUGACAAACAGGCCUAAUUUUUGUAUGGGUUGAAAUAAAUAAAUGAUUGC